UACGAAGGGGGCAAGCGUUGUUCGGAAUUACUGGGCGUAAAGGGCGCGUAGGCGGCCUGCUAAGUCGAACGUGAAAUCCCCGGGCUCAACCCGGGAACUGCGUCCGAUACUGGCAGGCUUGAAUUCGGGAGAGGGAUGCGGAAUUCCAGGUGUAGCGGUGAAAUGCGUAGAUAUCUGGAGGAACACCGGUGGCGAAGGCGGCAUCCUGGACCGAAAUUGACGCUGAGGCGCGAAAGCCAGGGGAGCAAACGGG
rnacentral:rRNA from 1 species